AACGCGAAGAACCUUACCAGGUCUUGACAUCCCGAUGAAAGCAGCAGAGAUGUUGCCCCUCUUCGGAGCAUUGGAGACAGGUGGUGCAUGGUUGUCGUCAGCUCGUGUCGUGAGAUGUUGGGUUAAGUCCCGCAACGAGCGCAACCCUUGAUCUUAGUUGCCAGCACCUCGGGUGGGCACUCUAGGAUGACUGCCGGUGACAAACCGGAGGAAGGCGGGGAUGACGUCAAAUCAUCAUGCCCCUUAUGACCUGGGCUACACACGUACUACAAUGGCCGGUACAACGGGCCGCGAAGCCGCGAGGUGGAGCCAAUCCCAAAAAGCCGGUCUCAGUUCGGAUUGCAGGCUGCAACUCGCCUGCAUGAAGUCGGAAUUGCUAGUAAUCGCGGAUCAGCAUGCCGCGGUGAAUACGUUCCCGGGCCUUGUACACACCGGUACUA
rnacentral:rRNA from 1 species